rnacentral:tRNA from 1 species
GAGGGUAUAGCUCAGUGGUAGAGUGCCUGCCUAGCAUGCACGAGGUCCUGGGUUCAAUCCCCAGUACCUCCA